rnacentral:rRNA from 1 species
GGACUACUGGGGUAUCUAAUCCUGUUUGCUCCCCACGCUUUCGUGUCUCAGCGUCAGUACUCGUCCAGUUGGCCGCCUUCGCCACCGGUGUUCCUCUCGAUAUCUACGAAUUUCACCUCUACACCGAGAAUUCCACCAACCUCUCCGGUACUCGAGCCACGCAGUUUCGGGUGCACUUCCCGGGUUGAGCCCGGGGCUUUCACAUCCGACUUGCGCGGCCGCCUACACACGCUUUACGCCCAGUAAUUCCGAACAACGUUUGCACCCUCUGUCUUACCGCGGCUGCUGGCAC